rnacentral:rRNA from 1 species
UACAGAGGUCUCAAGCGUUGUUCGGAUUCAUUGGGCGUAAAGGGUGCGUAGGCGGCGCGGUAAGUCGGGUGUGAAAUCUCGGAGCUUAACUCCGAAACUGCAUUCGGAUACUGCCGUGCUUGAGGACUGGAGAGGAGACUGGAAUUUACGGUGUAGCGGUGAAAUGCGUAGAUAUCGUAAGGAAGACCAGUGGCGAAGGCGGGUCUCUGGACAGUUCCUGACGCU